rnacentral:lncRNA from 1 species
GAUGCUACAAAUCGACAAUCUUACAAAUGGAGUGUCGGUGUCUGUGAGGGCCACCGAAAACUCAUUCUACGGUCCAUGAAGAAACCUGAGCUCGCAAUGCAAUACAGUGAUGCACAAAAGCCUAUCGAAUUCAGCCGAUUCGAAUGCUCGGGCGAGGCAGAAGAAUACCAGAUCAUCAGAAACUCAAACAAAUCAGAAGCUCAAGGAGUGAUGGAUCGAGAUGGGGUGUUCUCCUGUGAAGGUCUAUCCUUGUCGCUGCCCCUGUACUUGUCCUCUGAGGCACUCUCAGACUGUCGAGACGUGUCGUCGCCGUUGUCGUUGAAGAAAGGGUGCACAUCCUCCAGUAAGAGUAGCACAUUGUUCAUCUUGGGGCGUCGCUCAGGCACGGGGUCCACACACUGCAUGGCGAUCUGGAGCAUGGACACCAUCUCUUCUUCGAUGUUCUGGUAACG